CCUUAAGUUACAUUGUGCACACAUAUAUUAAUCAUUGGUUAACAUCAAAUUAAAUGCUUUACUACAGGUGAUAUGGUAGUUUGUGUUUAAUUAAUGUGUGAGUGAUACAUUUUGAACAGUUUAUAACAAUGACAAGAGGUAGAGGAAGGCGUCACCGACAGGUCUAGGUUUGAAGUCUGGAAAAAAUGCCACAAAGGGUAAGGAGGACUCCUCGGGAAGCAACACAGCAGCUACAACCAGUUGCUAGAAAUUUGAGAAGGCGUCCUCCUAUUGAUGUAGAUGAAGCACCUAUAAAAAGGAGACGGCGGGGUGAUCAUCAGUCUCAAUACCCUGAAUUAAACAAUCAGGUGGAUGAGCCUCAAUUAGCUGCCUUAGAUGAGGUUAAUGACGUUUUUGAUGAACCACUAAUGUAACCUGGUUUCAAUGAGGUUGAUAUAUUCAUAAGUCAAAAGCUUAAGAAUAAAAUUUUGAAUUUUGAGUAUAAUGAUUUGUCCCUUAUGCAUCGUUACAAUUUCAAUAGUCAAACAAAUAAUGAAAACACCAUUGGCCUUAAUGACGGUAUGUUGGUUAUACAAAAAAAAGUUUUAAAAAAAUUCAUACUAUAAAUUUCGUUGAAGAUUG